CCAAUGGCACAAUACUUGUUCGAGCGAACAGUGGUAUGACGCUACGUCCGUUGGAUUAUGCCUGAACGCCUCUAAGGUCGUAUCCGUGCUGGACUGCAAUGAUAAAUAAGGGGCAAUUUGCAUUGUAUGGCUUCUAAACCAUUUAAAGUUUAUAAUUUAUUUUAUAAACGACAAUGGAUGUGAUGCCAAUGUAAUUUGUAACAUAGUAAAUUAGGAGGAUCUUCGAUCACCUGAUGCCGCGCUAGUUACAUAUAAAAGCAUUAUUUAAUACAAUGACAAAGCCUAGAAUCAAUUGUAAACGACUUUUGUAACAGGCAAGGUGUUGUAAGUGGUUGAGCAGCUGCCAUACUGCGAUCCACUGAAGCUUAUCCUUUGCUUGAUGAUUCGA
rnacentral:ncRNA from 1 species